UACAGAGGUCUCAACCGUUGUUCGGAUUCAUUGGGCGUAAAGCGUGCGCAGGCGGCUUUGCAAGACAGAUGUGAAAUCCCCGGGCUUAACCUGGGAACUGCAUUUGUGACUGCAUGGCUGGAGUGCGGCAGAGGGGGAUGGAAUUCCGCGUGUAGCAGUGAAAUGCGUAGAUAUGCGGAGGAACACCGAUGGCGAAGGCAAUCCCCUGGGCCUGCACUGACGCUCAUGCACGAAAGCGUGGGGAGCAAACAGG
rnacentral:rRNA from 1 species